GGGAAAUGGAGUGAUGCUGGGUGGGAUAUGGCCUCCACACUUUCCUCUUCUGUUCUUGACUGCGAUCUUUUUCCUCGGCCUGUUUUCCUCAUUCUUACUCAAUGACUUCCACACUAAACAUUUCACAGUUAAUGAGGAACAACCCUCAGGAGAAUCCAUUGCAUGAAUAUUUACUUCUAAACACUGUCACCUUUUCAUGACUAGGGUUUGAUAUUUUUUAAAUCGUAAAUUCCAGCUACAGGUGCGAAAUUAAAACUCGUCUUCUCCCCUUUUUAUUACAGGGCUUCAUGAUUCCUGUGGGAUGAGAAGCAGGCAGCUACUUCUGGCUAUUGCCUGGCUUGCAAUCACCACAGAUGACCUCUGAGAAAACUUAUGAUCAUCAUCUGUACCUGUGAGACCACAGUUUGAUGUAUGGCAACACUGCUCCACUUUGGACAUGCCUUUGUCGUGGUUCCUGCCUUUCCCAGAGAGCCCCUCGGAGGCCCAAAAUGAAGAGAGGCAAUGAAGUCAAGGGCCCGGCUAUCAUUCACUGACACCCACUUUUGGGGAUCUUAGGCAGGGUGACAGCUCUGAGAGCCAGGAGCCCGAGUCUGUCUCAAGAACUUGCACAUGCCUGUCUCAGAGCACCAGGCCUGAUUGUGAGCUCUGGCUAGCGUCACAGUGAAUGUCAUCAUUGCCUAGCGACUGUUCCUCCGGCUUGGCAGAGAAGGAGACAUUCAUGAAGAUGUGUCGGCAGUGGACUCUCAGUUGUCUUCUCUGUGGGAUUCUCGGUAUAGUCCCAUGAACCUAGAAGAGGGCAGACUUCGACCAGCCUGAAAAAAACUUCUAGCACAGACCAAGGAAUAAACAAUGAAAUCCCUAAGGAUCCAGAAGAGUCUGCCGGAUUCCUCAGGCCUGCCUAAACUUUGUAGGGGAGAGUCUUUUUGAAACUUGCCUCACUGAGAUUUUGAGGUGUUGCCCACCUGUGUUUCCCAUGGUGGCUCUCUCCCUUGUGGGACUUCCUGCAGAACAACACAGCCUCAGAAGCUACUGGGCUCUGUGUUUUGGGGGCAGUGUUGCAAGUGUUGGAUGUCUGCUUCUGUGUGUGGCAGUGUGUCUUUGUGUGUGUGUGUGUGCCUGUAAGUGGAGUCUGCUUAACAUUUUGUGGCUACCUCAUUCCAGUGCUUCUUUUUUUUUUUUUUUUUAAAGUCUCCCAACCUUUUGGUGGCCAGUCUAUGUUGCUGUGCUUGGGUUGCAGGACUCCAUAUUCUUUAAUUUUCUGUGGAUCAUGAAUUCAAACUGAAUUGGGAGGUAGGCAGAGAUGAGCCAGCGUCCAAAUCACCUUUCCCUGCAAAAAAACUACUCUUCUUAAAAUAAAUAAAUAAAUAAAUAAGGAGCACACUACUUCAAAAGAAUAGACAUCUAUUAGCGUUUCAUUGUUCUGAGGACAACAAAUGGAGAGACAUUAGCCAUUCUGUCUGCCAGGCCCCAUGUAUUUACCUCAAAUUUGGUUCCCAGCUGAGUUGGUGCUUCAGAUCAUGACUUGGCCCUCCUCCAUUGUCUUGGGGUUUCACCCUGGGACAUACAGUGUAAGCUACAGCAAGGUGAGGUAGGAGUGUAAAUACAAUCUGAUGAGGGGUGGAUGGUGUCCUGAAACUUCCCCUGCAAAGAAAAAUAAAGACAGAUGACACAGAAGGUGCAUCCAGCUUCUUCCCUGAGUUACCUUAAUUGAACAAGUAUUCCACAGCAUGGCCCAGUGUUUAAGUGGAAAUACUCCAAUGUGCAAGAAACAUUUGGAGUGAAAAUUGCGAACAUCCUGGCAAAAACCCUAUUUGAGGGCUUUUAUACCUGGAGCCAAUGGGAGGGAAAUGGAUUCAUGCUUCUUGGGAUGUGGCCUCCAAACUUGCCUCUUCUUUUCUGGACUUCCAUGUUCCUCAUCGUCCUAGGAUUUCCUGGGUCUGGAUCAAUGUUUUCAACACUAAACAUUUUCCAGUUCACAGAGAACGACCCUCAUGAAAAGCAAUUGUGUGAGUGUUUCCUUCUAUCCACUGUAACAUAUUAAUGACUGGACAGCUUUUAUACUUUUAAAACCGUAAAUUCCUGUUACAGCCAACAACAAGGAAGCUCUAGUUCUACUCUAUCAGAGAAAGGGUGGCUGCGUGAUAUCUGUAGCAUGAGAAGCAGGCAGCCGUGUCUGACUUUUUACUGGUAAUCUAGCUUUUGUUUCAUUUUGUCCACACUGCCUUUUCUUUGUAAAGGAGGUCUUUCAUUAGACUGCUGCUGGGUGGCAGGGUCUCUCACCACACAUUAUUUAGCUGCCAUGGGUUUCAGAGAGCAGUAGGGAUUUCAGGUAUGCUGGCUGCACUCCAGGUUGUGGCUUGUGGUCUCGUUGUGGGGGCUGAGGUUGAUAGGAUUUUGCAGGAGGCUUUUGGGUCCUGUGACAGCAAUCAUUGAACAUUGUUUGACUCUAGCACAAGGCAGCUCAUUCCUCAG
rnacentral:lncRNA from 10 species